rnacentral:tRNA from 3 species
GCCGGAGUGGCGGAAUGGCAGACGCAGCGGACUCAAAAUCCGCCGGGGUAACACCCGUGGGGGUUCGACCCCCCCCUCCGGCACCA